GAGGGGAGGUUAAACCAACGAGAACUGCUAACUCUCGAAUCUGAGAAUAACACCUCAGUCCCCUUA
rnacentral:tRNA from 1 species